CUGCGGAAGGAUCAUUACCGAGUGAGGGCCCUCUGGGUCCAACCUCCCACCCGUGUCUAUCGUACCUUGUUGCUUCGGCGGGCCCGCCGUUUCGACGGCCGCCGGGGAGGCCCUGCGCCCCCGGGCCCGCGCCCGCCGAAGACCCCAACAUGAACGCUGUUCUGAAAGUAUGCAGUCUGAGUUGAUUAUCGUAAUCAGUUAAAACUUUCAACAACGGAUCUCUUGGUUCCGGCAUCGAUGAAGAACGCAGCGAAAUGCGAUAAGUAAUGUGAAUUGCAGAAUUCAGUGAAUCAUCGAGUCUUUGAACGCACAUUGCGCCCCCUGGUAUUCCGGGGGGCAUGCCUGUCCGAGCGUCAUUGCUGCCCUCAAGCACGGCUUGUGUGUUGGGCCCCCGUCCCCCUCUCCCGGGGGACGGGCCCGAAAGGCAGCGGCGGCACCGCGUCCGGUCCUCGAGCGUAUGGGGCUUUGUCACCUGCUCUGUAGGCCCGGCCGGCGCCAGCCGACACCCAACUUUAUUUUUCUAAGGUGACCUC
rnacentral:rRNA from 1 species